UACGUAGGGCGUAAGCGUUAUCCGGAAUUAUUGGGCGUAAAGAGCUCGUAGGCGGUUUGUCGCGUCUGCCGUGAAAGUCCGGGGCUCAACUCCGGAUCUGCGGUGGGUACGGGCAGACUAGAGUGAUGUAGGGGAGACUGGAAUUCCUGGUGUAGCGGUGAAAUGCGUAGAUAUCAAGAGGAACACCUGCGGCGAAGGCGGGUUGCUGGGCCGACACUGACGCUGAGGCGCGAAAGCCAGGGGAGCGAACGGG
rnacentral:rRNA from 1 species